rnacentral:rRNA from 1 species
GAGAGUUAAACAGUACGUGAAAUUGUUGAAAGGGAAACGAUUGAAGCCAGUCGUACCUAUGGGUAAUCAGCCUUUUGGGUGUGAUUUUGUGGAGCGUGAGGAGUUAAACGCCUUCAUGCCUGCAUAUUCGUGCACUUUGGGUGUACUUGCCCGUGUGUAAGUUAACAUCAAUUUUGGUGGUCAUAAAAUGGCUGGAGGAAUGUAGCUUCGAUCUUGUAUUGAAGUGUUAUAGCCUUCGGUAGAUGUGACGAUCGGGAUUGAGGAUUGCAACGGAUACCCUUCUGGGCUAUUCGUCUGAUCUCUGAAACGUUGCCUUGAUGUCGAAAGCUUGCUUAUGAUGUUAAGGGUAUUACGGUCAAAAGGUUAGAACGGAUUAAAUUCGUUAAGGAUGUUGACGUAAUGACUUUAAACGA